GCUGGGUGUGGUGGCGCACACCUGUAAUCCCAGCUACUCAGGAGGCUGAGGCAGGAUGAUCACUUGAACCUGGAAGGUGGAGGUUGCAGUGAGCCAAGACUGGGCCACUGCACUCCAGCCUGGGCAACAGAGUGAGACUCUGCCUCAA
rnacentral:SRP_RNA from 1 species